UGUGCUUUGUGAGUAGGUACUGCGUGUCCUUGACGCCCCCUCCCCCACCUUUAAACUACACGACUAAAUAAAUAAAUAAACAAACCGCCGCCGCUGAAAGCCUCAGCGCUCUGCUGGAGAGAGGAGAGUGGAGGCGAGGCAGCUCACCCACCCAUCAACCCACCUCGGAAAGCCUGUGAAUGAACACAAAGGACAGACUUCAAAUUCUCUAUCUGCUUUUCCCAUAGAAGAACCACCACCAAAGCAAAGUGAAUACAACUAAAACAACACUACGGAUUACAGAGGUAGGAAGUCUAAAUAAAUGAUUUUUACAAAAUAUAUUUUGGAGAAAGCAAAAUGAACAAACAUGAAGCAAUUUGUAAAACUUCCUAAGAUAGAAGAGACUUGAAUAUAAAGGACAAUAAAACUUCUGACUACUAUCAACACUAAAUUGCAGCGUAUGUAUGUGGGCAUCAAUGAUCUCAGCUACAAGACUACAUUACACAGCUUUCUCUGCUGCCAGGUGUGCUCACUGGGCCAUGUUCUGCCAACGAGAGACACUCACUCAGACUUGCUGGCUAGACUGCACAACGGCUCCUAGUCAGUGUCUCUCUCAACUAUCAUCAGAGAAGCUUUGUCUUGCAGAGGAUGGGAACUAAUACCAACACCUGGACAAAUGGACAAUGUGCCGAGUGAGAGACCUUGGAACACUCAGGGAACAACGUGUACGAGGAGGCAGAAGGAUUGUAAGAGCCAGAGGGGAUGGAAGACACCAAGGAAGCAGUGUCUUCCAGACACCACAGGACUGACACACACAUGCACAUAUGAACUCAAGACUGAGGCGGUACAUACAAGGGAUGCACAGACCCAAGAGAGACAGGGUCCCAGUGCUGAGAGGGCAAAGUAUGCACAGGCUCCCAUCCUAACCAAGAAGCUAUCUCCACCUGACAACCACUUGCAAAGGAACUAGUUUUCCCCAGUGAAAGCUCACUGGGCAUACAAAUCACACAUAAAUCAGGGCAGGCCCCAUGCUCAGCAAGCAGUACAUAACCAAUUUUGUAGUCUGUUAUUUGUCUCAGAUUGCUUUGUUUGGGAAUUUUUCUUUUUUAAUCUUACAGGUCUUUUGCUUGUAUAUUAUGGUUCCCAAUUAUGUGCUUUGUUUGUGUGAAUGUGUGUUUCUUAAGCUUUUUCUUUUCUCUUUUUUUUUUCUUUUAUUUAUUUUUUUUGCCAGUCUUCUAAAGAGGGCUUGGAGCUGGGUGGGU